CUUGCCUCGCGAACUCGGUGAAAGGAAUUGGCGCCGUUCGACACCAGGCGGGUCCGUUCUGCAGCAGCACUCAGCUAUCUCCAGCAGCAGCCGCCGCCCGGGCCGACCAGCAGCCGCCGCCACAGGCCGAGGGAGCCAGCAGUCAGCGGUGAACCCGGGCCCUCAUCAUGAGUUCUUCGCCUGUUAAUGUCAAGAAACUGAAGGUGUCGGAGCUGAAGGAGGAGCUCAAGAAGCGGCGCCUCUCCGACAAGGGCCUCAAGGCCGAUCUCAUGGAUCGACUCCAGGCCGCGCUGGACAACGAGGCAGGAGGCCGCCCCGCCAUGGAGCCAGGGAACGGCAGCCUCGACCUGGGUGGCGAUGCGGCCGGGCGCUCGGGAGCAGGCCUAGAGCAGGAGGCCGCGGCCGGCGCCGAAGACGAUGAGGAGGAGGAGGGCAUUGCCGCUCUGGACGGCGACCAGAUGGAGCUGGGCGAGGAGAACGGGGCGGCGGGGGCGGCUGACGCGGGCGCGAUGGAGGAGGAGGAGGCGGCGUCGGAAGACGAGAACGGCGACGACCAGGGCUUCCAGGAGGGGGAGGACGAGCUCGGCGACGAAGAGGAGGGCGCGGGCGACGAGAACGGCCACGGGGAGCAGCAGUCCCAACCGCCGGCGGCGGCGCAGCAGGCUUCUCAGCAGCGCGGGCCUGGCAAGGAGGCCGCGGGGAAAAGCAGCGGCCCCACCUCGCUCUUCGCGGUGACGGUGGCGCCGCCAGGGGCGAGGCAGGGCCAACAGCAGGCGGGAGGAGACGGCAAAACAGAACAGAAAGCCGGAGAUAAAAAGAGAGGUGUUAAAAGACCCCGGGAAGAUCAUGGCCGAGGAUAUUUUGAGUACAUUGAAGAAAACAAGUACAGCAGAGCCAAGUCUCCUCAGCCACCUGUUGAAGAAGAAGACGAACACUUCGAUGACACAGUGGUUUGUCUUGAUACUUAUAAUUGUGAUCUGCAUUUUAAAAUAUCAAGAGACCGUCUCAGUGCUUCUUCCCUUACUAUGGAGAGUUUUGCUUUUCUUUGGGCUGGAGGAAGAGCUUCUUAUGGUGUGUCAAAAGGCAAAGUCUGUUUUGAGAUGAAGGUAACGGAGAAGAUUCCAGUAAGACAUUUAUAUACAAAAGAUAUUGAUAUACAUGAAGUUCGGAUUGGCUGGUCACUAACCACAAGUGGAAUGUUGCUUGGUGAAGAAGAAUUUUCUUAUGGGUAUUCUCUGAAAGGAAUAAAAACCUGCAACUGUGAGACAGAAGAUUAUGGAGAGAAGUUUGAUGAAAAUGAUGUGAUUACAUGCUUUGCUAACUUUGAGACUGAUGAAGUUGAACUCUCUUACGCAAAGAAUGGACAAGAUCUUGGUGUUGCCUUUAAGAUUAGUAAGGAAGUUCUUGCUGACCGGCCAUUAUUCCCCCAUGUUCUCUGCCAUAACUGUGCAGUUGAGUUUAAUUUUGGUCAAAAGGAAAAGCCAUACUUUCCAAUACCUGAAGACUGUACUUUUAUCCAAAAUGUCCCAUUAGAGGACCGAGUCAGAGGACCAAAAGGACCUGAAGAGAAGAAGGAUUGUGAAGUUGUGAUGAUGAUUGGCUUGCCAGGAGCUGGAAAAACUACCUGGGUUACUAAACAUGCAGCUGAAAACCCUGGGAAAUAUAACAUUCUUGGAACAAACACCAUUAUGGACAAAAUGAUGGUGGCAGGCUUUAAGAAGCAAAUGGCAGAUACUGGAAAACUGAACACACUGUUGCAGAGAGCCCCACAGUGUCUUGGCAAGUUUAUUGAGAUUGCUGCCCGAAAGAAGCGAAAUUUUAUUCUGGAUCAGACAAAUGUGUCUGCUGCUGCCCAGAGGAGAAAAAUGUGCCUGUUUGCAGGCUUCCAACGAAAAGCCGUGGUCGUUUGCCCAAAAGACGAAGACUAUAAGCAGAGGACACAGAAGAAAGCGGAAGUAGAGGGGAAAGACCUACCAGAGCAUGCUGUCCUCAAGAUGAAAGGAAACUUCACCCUUCCAGAGGUUGCAGAGUGUUUUGAUGAAAUAACCUAUGUUGAACUUCAGAAGGAGGAAGCCCAGAAGCUUUUGGAGCAAUAUAAAGAAGAAAGCAAAAAGGCACUGCCACCAGAAAAAAAGCAAAACACUGGCUCAAAGAAAAGCAAUAAAAAUAAGAGUGGCAAGAACCAGUUCAACAGAGGUGGUGGCCAUAGAGGACGUGGAGGAUUCAAUAUGCGUGGUGGCAAUUUCAGAGGAGGAGCUCCUGGGAAUCGUGGUGGAUAUAAUAGGAGAGGCAACAUGCCCCAGAGAGGUGGUGGUGGCGGAAGUGGUGGAAUUGGCUAUCCAUACCCACGUGGCCCUGUCUUUCCUGGCCGAGGUGGUUACUCAAACAGAGGAAAUUACAACAGAGGUGGAAUGCCCAACAGAGGGAACUAUAACCAGAACUUCAGAGGACGAGGAAAUAAUCGUGGCUACAAAAAUCAAUCUCAGGGCUACAACCAGUGGCAGCAGGGUCAAUUCUGGGGUCAGAAGCCAUGGAGUCAGCAUUAUCACCAAGGAUAUUAUUGAAUACCCAAAUAAAACGAACUGAUACAUAUUUCUCCAAAACCUUCACAAGAAGUCGACUGUUUUCUUUAGUAGGCUAACUUUUUAAACAUUCCACAAGAGGAAGUGCCUGCGGGUUCCUUUUUUAGAAGCUUUGUGGGUUGAUUUUUUUUCUUUUCUUUUUUGUACAUUUUUAAUUGCAGUUUUAAAGUGAAUCGUAAGAGAACCUCAGCAUUGUGCACGAUAAGAGAAUGUGUCAGUAUUUCAGGGUUCUACAUUUUAUCUGUAAAAUGUGACUUUUUUUUUAUCACAACAAAAGUAAAAUGUUGCUUUGUACCUGGUGUCUUUUAUUAAGCAUUUACUCCCCCAUUUCUCACAGAGAAUAACAGUCGGGAGUCAUUGUCACAAUGAAAUAGCAAUGUCAGCAACCAGAUUCAUGGAAGGACUGAGGGUCCUCAUGAAUGGCAUUAAGAUUCUGUACUGCUCAUAAUACACUCCAUCCUCUCUAGAUGGCCGGGCGAUAGUGGAGGGGUAAUCUCUGACAAAAAAAAAAAAAAGGGAAGGCUAUUUUUUUUUCUGCUUAACAAUGGAAUUGGCAUAAUUGGGAUUGAAGAUAAAAUUUGGAACCAAGACUGAGAAGAUGGAGUGUAUGUAGAAGGGCUGUUUAAAAAUGUAAACUUGGUUGCAUUAUAUGUGGAGGCUCAAACUUGUGAAGGUUAAAUACCACAAAAUUUUCCAUUUGUUCUGCAUUUUGAUUCUGAAAAGAAAGCUGGCUUUGCCCAUUUUCUUAUUAAAAAACUUGUUGUAAAUCCAGUUGUCUAAUGGGAUCUAUAUGAAGUUAGCUAUGUCUGUAUGCCCUUCUCCCACAAAAUACUGUAUUACUAGUGUGCUUGUAGUAGUUAACUCCACCAUCUUUGUAAGCUAAUGAAAUUGUGAGUCACCCAUUUAUAUCUUAAUUUUUAAUCAUGUCAGUUCUUGAAUGGGUAUCUCCUUAGCCUGCUGAUUUCUUUUUCUUUCUAAAGAAAGUGGGUGGAGAAAUUAAUUUAGACGUUUGUUUGCAAUAAAAAGAAUUCAUUUUACUCUCGUUUGGGAUUCUCGCCAUCAAGGUCUAAAUCCCUUUAUACUACAACUCCCAAGAGGAGAAAUUUUAAGUGUGUGCUUUCUGGACAGCUUAUUCUUUACUCUGUACUUUAGAACAUUUAGGUUUUAAAAACUUAAAUGUAUACUGAUGAUUUUAUAAUAUAAAGUUGAAUUCUUCCCCUCCCCUCCCCUCCCCAGACUGCUUUUAACAUUUAUGAGGGGCAAAGGUACUGGCUGGGAGAAGUUAAUGCUCAGUUGAUCAUGUUUACAAACUGAAUGGCUGUCCUCACCUGAUAAUAUACAUAUAUGAUACAUGAACUUUGGGAACAGAUGCUUUUAGAAGCCAUCAUGCAAGCCAGUCGUUGAUUUCACUACUACACAAUGCUGCUAACUUAACUGUGAUAAAAAUCAGAUCCCCUAAUUGUAAUUUUAUUGGGUUUGCACAGAACACUUAAUCUUCUAAAGGAGCCUCACUUAUGUGAAGUGAGGAAUCAGGAGUCAAACUGUAGAACUAAAAUUAGAAUUUAGCCUAGCGUGUGUUUUUAGCCUGCUUUUGGUAAGUUCAGGUUUUCCUGUAUUGAUUGCUGUACUUUUGUUUUAAGUCAGAUUUUUAAAAAAAUACUAUAUUAUACUCUAGGAAUUGCUACAGGCUAGCUUCUGCAAACAGGUAACAGGUUGCCUCAAAGUCCUACAAAGUAUCUUAGUUAACUGCUACAAACCAUUGGUAGGAGUAUCCUGUAUUUACAUUGUUAGGAUUAUAAAUAUAUGGAACAAUUCAGACUUUUAAUUUAGAUCAGUAUUGAUCCUGAUGCUUUAAUCUGCCUUUCAAAAAGUCUGUAUAGACCUAGAUUUCAUGGCAACAAAAGGUCAAAUAACAAAGUAGACCAUUAUAGUGCAUUGCCUAAAAAAGUUGGAGGAGAGAGAAAGUGAUCUCACUAGUUACAUCUCUGCAUAUAAUAAAUUUCUUUAAUAAAUUAAUGAGGGAAUUCAUACAAAAGGGGAAAAUGACAAGUUACUAAAACAUCCCAAAUAUUGUUAGGAUCAGACUUGAAGGAAAGAACUAACUUUAUGCCCAGUGGUAAGCAAACUGAACAGACAUAGCAUUGGUUUGAAACAUGUUGGCUAGAGAAAACAGUAGAGAUUGUUUUUGGUUCAAGACAUACUUUAAAUCAAGCUGGGCAUAACAGCACAAGCCUGUAGUCAGUCUACAGAGGGGCAAAAAUGAUAAAAGUUGUUGGAGGGCAGCUUGGGCUAUAAAUACAUUGUGAGGUUCUCUCUGCCCCCUCCCCAGGAAAAAAGUUCUUUUGUAGAAACAGUUAAUGUAAUUCAGUACCUGCAGAGCCAAAAGGGUGGGGAAGGGCUGCCAUUGUAGAUAGUGGUAGAGCACUUGUCAGGACCUAAGAGGUAAAGGAGUUAUAACAUUGUUACAGGGAAAAUAGUGUAGAUUAAUAAUGAAGAAAAAGACUUUCUCAUUAGUGAAAUUAAGUCUAUAGACUAUACCACACAAAUACUUUAAUGGCGUUUUAGGUAGUAUGCGCUUGGGUGAGAAAGCCUAGUUUAGUGCACAUCAAUGUGAAUAGAUUUUUUUUAAUGUAGAAUAAACCUAAAACUAAUUUUCCUUUUUACGUAAAUGUAAUAUAAAGUGAACAAAAUUUGUAGCAGAUAAUUACACCCCAACAUGAAGUCGAUUUUCUUAGAAAGAUGAGCAAUGAUAACCUAAAGCUGUUGUGGGUGAACCUCGCAAGAGCUUUUCUUCUCUAGAACAUUCUGGUGCCUGGGUAUUGGAGGUAAUGUGUGGUAGCUGCUAAGUUGUAACAUUUUCUUUUUUAAAGUAAUAGCUAAUAAGCCAAGGUGUGUAAGAUCAGGAUGAUAGAUGCAUUGAGGGCCUAGCUUGGCCAAGGUCACUUGAAAAGGAGUAAGUUGGCAUAAGCCAUAAUCUGACUAGUUAGCUUUGUGGCUUGUCCAGAACACUGCUCUUUUGAGGAACCUUGUCCUUGUAUGAUUUUUAGCUUUGCAUUGAAAUAAAGGGGUAGAUAAAAGGCAUGAAUCAAAUAAUACAAAGAUGAGAAGUCUAGGCUGUUUAUUAAUAGUCUCUAGUUUUUUCUCUUCUUUUGCUAUUAGUACUUGGUAUGGGUACAUGUUUAUAAGAGACAAGUAUUUGAAGAACUUUGUCUAGCUGACUCAAGUUGGAGUACUCCUUGUCACUAACCUUUUUUUCCCAAAGCCCUUGGAAAAUGAGCUGUAGUGCUGAUUGAAAGGGAUAUAUGCAGCAUUGGUAUAGAAUAGUGGGUAGAAUCAGGAAUUUUUGCUUUAUUUGCAAAUUCAUGGGACUCAAGAUGCCCAAUAGCAGGUUGAAAGUAAGAACUUAGGAAUGAUAAUAUGAAUAUGUUCUUUUCCCCAUUGUGUAAAAAAAAGUACAGAAAUUGAAUAUUGAAAUGCCCCAGAAUUUCAUUUUAUGUGUAAGGUGGAAUUCAGAAAGCAAAACUAAUGAAGCAUCUUACAAAACCCAGUGCUGUAGGCUAAAUGUGUUGAAGAUUUCAAUAAGCCAUCAAUCUGUUACCAGGACAUUAGUUUGUAGUCACCUAUCAUACAAGCCUGAGGAAGAGAUAGCUGUCUUUAUGACAACUGAGAGUAUUCUUAAACCAAGAGAAGUGAGUGGAGAGCUUGUCUUUUUAACAGCUGAGCAUGCAUAUAGGGAACUUGUGCUUAAGUCAUUAAUGACAGUUGUGUGUCUGUAAAAGCCUCUAGGAAGUUCCAGGCAUUUCUUUGGACAACUGAACACCUUGUGUAGCAGUGUCGACUGAUUUUAAGUUAAUCUAUAAAAUCUACUUGGGUUUGAGUCUGAACUAACAGCAGAACUGCUGUUGGGUUAUUAGUUAAAUUAACCUGUUUUCCCUUGACUGUCUUUGAGACUAUAGAAAAUUGCUUAUCCACUUACAAAUAUCCAACACUUUAACACCUAUUUGAAGAAGUUGAUACUGGCCAAAAAAGUGAAGCCAAAUCAAAACUUGAGGUAUUAAAAGCAUACUUAAAUGAUUCUAGUUUGCCAGCUAAUUGCUUAGCUAAUUUGAGAUGGGAGGAUCAUGGACAAGAAACAAGGAUUCAAGGGUUCCAGCAUUACUUCAUUUUCUUGUUAGCUUAGAAAUAAAAGCAAUGUGUUGAUUUACAUUUCAUCUCCUUUUUCUUAGUCUGUCCAUGUGAAUGUGCUGUGUGAAGAGUACAGGGGCCCAACUAAAUGUGUUCCAGUGAUUCCAUAGGUAUUCUAAUUAAUUGCUGCUUGUAUGUUUACCAGUUUGCUAGGCCUCCAGGACCACCUUACUCAAAGCUGUUGGCAACCAAAUGGACAGGACAUACAUCUUCUGAAAGAUUUUCUAACUUUGCCUUUGUUCAUCAGAAGUGUAAAGACUUUAACCAAGUCUAAACUUUUACCCUUAGACAUUUACCCUUAGAGGCCUAUUCAUUGCAAAACAGUGACCUUUAGGGCACUUCUGCUCUUGUUUACCAAGUUUUUUUCCUGUCUUGACCAGGCUGUGGUCUCUUCUGAGUAGUGAAGUGAAUACAUCCCUAGAAGUCCAAAAAUUAGAUGAAGAAACUCAAGAUUCUGAAGUUAAUGGGAAACAUGGUGUGAGCUUUGGUUAUGCCACCCUCAGAGCACUUACUCUUGUAAAACAUAAGCUAGAGUCACAGCUAGUCAAGUCCUAAGUAUGCUGUAAGUUCCAUGGCAAAGCAUGUCUUCAUGAUACAGAAGCAUUUGCAGUCCAUGCAUCCUCUUAAGGGGUGCCAUACACAGGUAGUUUAGAAACUUUGUAAGCUUUGUUACAUUUAGAAAUGUUUAACAUUUCAUUUUAGUCAAUGUCUUCAUUAGAAACUAAGGUUAGCCUAAGUGAACAUACAACUUUCUACCUAGUAGUGCUUUUAACUAACACAUUGAAAAAUAUCCUAAAUUUUUCUUGCUGCAACAGCUUUGCUCUCAAAUAGCUUAAAAUAUUAAAAAUUGAACUUGAUAUAACAUGUAUACAGUACCAGUAUUUGGGUGGUAAUAGUGGAUUCUGGCUAUUAUAUUGACCUGAUAUAAUAUUUAUUAGAACAUUAACCUGCUUCAAAAUUGAUUUUAGAGAACUGUUACAAGUCAGAAUUAUAGAAAUUGUUUAAUUUUCCUAUUUACUAAGAUCUGCGUACCCAAAGAAUAGUUAUAUUUAACAUGACUUUUAAAGGGGUGCGUUGACACCUGUCAGAUUUUUAUCUAGGAAUAGAAGGAUUCAAACCCUAUUUGAUCCUUAGCUCUUUGCUGAAAAGUGCAUAAACAGGAAUCCUGAAUUUAUUAUAUAGACCUCCGCAUUAUAUAAUCGAAGCAAAGGGAAACCACCGAUGGAGUUAGAGGUACGUAGACUAAAAAGAUGCUUGCAAAUCAAAUACUGGUUUUAGCAUAGUUGAGUUUUAAUUGUGGCCAAGCUCAGUCAAUAAGUCACAAGUCCAGAAAAAAAGCUGUUCCUAUUAAAUCCCCAGGUCCUUUUACUAAGACGAAAAAACAAGGAAUCGAAGAGGGAGGGGCUGAGGGGGGGGGAAGGAAUUAAAGCCUAGGAAUGGUAGAUAAGCUAUCCCAAAACGUCACAACUAACACUACGAUUCUAUUUUAAUCAGCUUUUGGCUGGUACCUACUGCUAUAUCACCUAGUAUGACAUUUCGGGAUUAUCGGGACAAUGAAGGAAACUGCACAGAGGGCAAAGAAGUUGUGCUGCUGUGAAAAUGAACUUUGUAAGUAGUGAAGAUGUUACCAGCCAAGAGAGGUCUCUUUCAUGGUAAGAUAUAACUGCACCAUGGUAAAGCUGGCAGAAUUCCAGUCUCUGGUUUUUCACAGUGACAAUGGCUGAGAGCAUAAGUGCACUGUCCACAGCUUGUUAAAAUACUUGAUUGACCUACUAUAAACUCAACUUUAUCAAGGAUGAAAUAGUAGGGCUACCAGAUGCAAAGCUUCUUAGUGUCCAUCGUUGACAGUCUUUCCUGUUGGAAGCUUCAAUAGACAAAGUCCUAGGCCAGUAAUAGAUACAUAUCCCUGCUCAGGUGUGAUUUCUCCUUCAAUCUGAUGUACUUUGUGAACAGAUAAUGAACCUGACACCUUAGGAAGAUCAGGACCCUGACUCCCAUGUGUUUGACAUGGCAGUUCUGUGAUACAUGACAGACAUAACUUACUGGCAGUAAACAAAAGGAUUUCAUGUAGGUAACAAUACAGUUGACACACUUGAGUUUAAUUUAUGGUUGAUUCACAAGGAAGCAUAGUUGUGGGUUUAAAGCUGAUGAAGUCGCUUAGCUGCUGUUACUGCUCUUCGUUUUUCUUUCAGGAUCAAGGUGGGUGCUUUCAUAUAAAAUCUUGUUUUUUAUUCCUUCUCUGGCAAUUCUUUCCUGGAUCCUCUGCUUAGCAAAAUUAUACCUACAGUGGAACCUUAUAAGAAAGAAAAUGAGUAAGUUACUAGUUGUAUAUGAAUAACCUAAGGAGUGAUUAUAUAACCAAAAUGCUAAAAAGAUGACUACUAUCCCAAAACUAAAUUUAAAGGUAUUUUGUCAAAAUACAAAUGCUUUUUAUAACUCCAUAUUUCUGUCUUAGAGUAAGUAUACCUGCUGGAAUCUCUUGGGUCUGACUCCCUUUAUUUACUCAACUUUAUAUUUUAAUGGAAUUCUGCCACUACUGUCAAACAUUCAAUGAAUAAUGAGGUUUAUAUAUUUACAGAAAAAAAAAAAGCCCAAACCAAAACAACUGAUGGCUCAUGCCUUUUUAAUCCCAGCACUACAGAGAGAGAGACCCUGUCUCAAUUUGCAUGUGCACACAUACCCACCCCAUAUUUAUUGAGUGAAUGUUGUUACUUCUCCUGACUUUCCUGGAAUAUCCAGCAAACAUACCAGCAUCCUAAAGUCACCAGGAUAAAUCCUCCUACUCCAACAUCACAGGAUCUUCUAAUUCUGCCUAUCAAAAACAAGCAUGGUCGGCAUAAGUUAUAUUCUGUGUGGGAAACCCAUAGUGGACAUGUUUUAAUUUAAAAAAAUACACUCACUGGUCACCAAGAAAUGUCCAAGUCCAGUCACAAUAGAUCCUAGUGAGCCAUACAGUAUAGAUUCUCGAGCGCAUGGAGUGUUCUCAACAUCUAAAAUACCUAGGAGCUUGAAGGGCUAGGAUAAAAUGAACAAGAAAAUAGUUGAUGGCAACAUGGAUCCCCACUCAAUUUUUAAUAACACUAAACUUUACCAGUCAGCUAACUUGUGUGUUGAAUCUGCCACUUUGGGAUUUAUUUACUCCAGCAUUUGAAUCUAGUGAACAUAGUAAUGAAGUGACCAGUCUUCCAAGGACAUGUCACUCAGCCAGUCAUAGAUAGGGGUCAAAACAGACUUUAUUCCAUUCUGUUCAUGUGAGUUUUAGACAUCUGGUGGUUUUGAGUGUAAUGUAAUCCCAGCAAUCAGGAAACCACAGCAAGAAGAUUGCUGUGAAUUGGAGGUCAGACUGAGCUCCGAAAGUCUGAGAAGCAAGACUACACACAACUGUGUAACAACAUGUGUGAAAAGAAGCCAUCCUCUAUUGGAUCCCAGCCCUGGAAAACAAAUGUUUUCUACAGUGCCACUCAGUACAGCUAGAGGAUUAUUGCAUAAGAAAUGGAAUCUAUACUGGUGGGGAAUGGAGUAAAAGACUUCAGAUCCUGUUAAAGAUAGGGUAGAACUGCACUUCCCUUAGCUCAAGAAUCUGCUUGAAGAUAACAUGUAACUUGGUUUUCAUUAAAGUACAAUUCUUUCCCA